rnacentral:rRNA from 1 species
GUGGAUUAGAUACCCUGGUAGUCCACGCCCUAAACGAUGUCAAUUAGCUGUUGGGGGUUUGAAUCCUUGGUAGCGUAGCUAACGCGUGAAAUUGACCGCCUGGGGAGUACGGCCGCAAGGUUAAAACUCAAAGGAAUUGACGGGGACCCGCACAAGCGGUGGAUGAUGUGGAUUAAUUCGAUGCAACGCGAAAAACCUUACCUGCUCUUGACAUGUAACGAACGCCGGAGAGAUUCGGUGGUGCCCGAAAGGGAGCGUUAACACAGGUGCUGCACGGCCGUCGUCAGCU